rnacentral:rRNA from 1 species
GGUGAACGCUGGCGGCGUGCUUUAGACAUGCAAGUCGAACGCAGUCUUCGGACUGAGUGGCGCACGGGUGAGUAACACGUAACUGACCUACCCCCAAGUCGCGGAUAACUGGCCGAAAGGUCAGCUAAUACGUGAUGUGAUGUCCCCUUUCUGGGGGGCCAUUAAAGGUUUACUGCUUGGGGAUGGGGUUGCGUUCCAUCAGCUAGUUAGCGGGGUAAAGGCCCACCAAGGCAACGACGGAUAGCCGGCCUGAGAGGGUGGCCGGCCACAGGGGCACUGAGACACGGGUCCCACUCCUACGGGAGGCAGCAGUUAGGAAUCUUCCACAAUGGGCGAAAGCCUGAUGGAGCGACGCCGCGUGAGGGAUGAAGGUUCUCGGAUCGUAAACCUCUGAAUCAGGGACGAAAGACGCGUAAGCGGGAUGACGGUACCUGAGUAAUAGCACCGGCUAACUCCGUGCCAGCAGCCGCAGUAA